rnacentral:tRNA from 1 species
GUGAACAUAGUUUAAUCAAAAUCCUGAAUUGUGGCUUCAGAGACAGGGGUUAAAACCCCCUUGUUUACC